UAAAAUUAAUAAAAUCUUGAAAGGGAGAUUGGUUAAAAAAUAACUUGAAGAAUUUAAAAUAUUUUCAAAACUAAAAAUAUUAACAAAGUCUUCUUUGUCACCGUUAAUGUCCUCUUGUUCUUCUAUUUCAAUUCGAGUUUGGUUAUAGAAGGAAUUGAGUCGGGUCUCUUUAUCGUUUCUUGGAAAAAUUCCUUUAUGGUGGUGUUUAUAUUGAUCUUUUUCGGCGGUGGCGACAAGUGACGACUCCUCUGGAUUCAUGUGAAUGCUCUGUAAAAGAUCGAACACAACUUCUUUUGUAAGUUCUUUUAAUCCCUCUAAUACUUUCUCUAUAGUUUCUUUCGUUGGCUUCAAUUUUUCGGCCACUGAAACUAUCUUCGUGCCGGCUUUUCUCAUCGUUGAAAAAAAAGCUCUAAAAUAACAGAAAGAAAAUGGUUAAACUGGAGAAGAAGACGGACCCAAUUCAAUUGGAAGAGAUAUGUGUAUACGUUCAUUUAUGAGUCUAAAAGAAAAUAUCCAUACAUUUAUAACUCUACAUCCCUAAGGAAAUAAUAUCCCAUAUCUCUACUCAUACACAUUAGUCAUAAAAUCUUACUUGGUACUUGUCAAAUUCCCUAAUUGAUCAUAAACUCCUACUAAAUAUCUCAUAAAUGAU
rnacentral:sRNA from 1 species